AUACGCGGGAACUCGAUUCACUAUC
rnacentral:rasiRNA from 1 species